UUUUUCCGCCGGACUUUGCCACGCAAUGGCGAUCUUCAGUAGGGAUUUAUACGAAUCCUGCCAAAGCGUUACCUUCCAUUUCCAUCGCCCUCAAAAUCGUUCUAUUAGCAGUCGAACGUUGCACAAUUAAUAAUAUAUGCUCGUCUUCGGGAAAACGUAAUUUUUAACGGGUGCUUAUUUUUCCAAACGAACAACUUAAUAAAUAUUCACCGGAAAACAACCAACUGGUUUGUUCUAAGACUUUGUGUAUAUUGAAGUAUACGUUCAUAUAUCAUCAGGUAUUG